CCUACAGGUGGCAGCAGUGGGGGAUAUUGCACAAUGGGGGAAACCCUGAUGCAGCGACGCCGCGUGGGUGAAGAAGUAUUUCGGUAUGUAAAGCCCUAUCAGCAGGGAAGAAAGAAGACGGUACCUGACUAAGAAGCCCCGGCUAACUACGUGCCAGCAGCCGCGGUAAUACGUAGGGGGCGAGCGUUAUCCGGAUUCACUGGGUGUAAAGGGAGCGUAGACGGCCGUGCAAGCCAGGAGUGAAAGCCCGGGGCCCAACCCCGGGACUGCUCUUGGGAAUGUGCGGCUGGAGUGCGGGAGGGGCAGGCGGAAUUCCUGGUGUAGCGGUGAAAUGCGUAGAUAUCAGGAGGAACACCGGCGGCGAAGGCGGCCUGCUGGACCGCGACUGACGUUGAGGCUCGAAAGCGUGGGGAGCAAACAGGAUUAGAUACCCUGGUAGUC
rnacentral:rRNA from 1 species